CCCUCGGGCCGGCCCCGGCGCACCUUUUCUCCCCGCUGCCACAAUGUGAGCGCCCCGCCGCCCAGAUAACCGCCGACUCCCGCUCCACCCCCGCCCUCCCCCACUCCGCCCACUGCCGAGCGCCCAGGACCCUAGGACUUGCCCUUGUGUAUCUGAAGCUUUGGUGACCAGUACUUUGGAAGGCCUUGGGCCACAGGGCUGAGGGCGGCCGACAAGCAAGAGGGUGGAAUUUGCAGUGUCUGUCUCGUCUGGGUGAGACAGUUGGAAGACGUUUCUACCAAUUAUAGUGGUUAAACACUGACUCAACAGCCAACAACCUCAUGAGGUGUCAGAGCCUUCAUUCAUGGACAAGUUUCAAAAUGAGACAGGAUAGCACAACCCAUCAUGGGCAGUGCCGUCAGAGAAGAGAGGAGAGUGGAUUUCACACACAACAAGGUGGUUGUUUUCUGGAUGGAUCUCACCUCUCAGUGGGGGUGGUGGGGGGACAGAAUGGGGGCUGGUGCUUUUUUUUGGGGUCUUACCACGUGGACAUCCUGUGGGAAUAUUCCCCCCUCCUCAGCAAGAUACACUCUGCUCUGUGAAGAAUCCAGGCCGGAGUACAAGAGAUCUAUGAAGCUGCCGUGGAAGUCCAGCCCAGACGCUCGGGCCCUGGGUGGCCAUCCAGUCUGACCACACACACCCCAUUCUAGUUUCAGCAUUGGUGUCUGUCCUCCCUGAGAGUUCAUGGGCUCCCCCAGGGCAGGAGGCAUCCUAGUCACAUCAGAGCCAGCUCAGUACCUGUCACAGUGCCUGGUACACAGCUGCCGUUCAGUAAAUGUUUGCUCAAUAAAUCAACUAUAAACUUGGAAAUAGUUCCCUUAAAGAGCUCCUCGCUCUUGUUCAGAAGUAGAGUUGUACUGCAAACGCUGGUGUGCUGGGGAUGGGAAGGGACACUGUUGGGUAAUAAUAAUAAUAAUAAUAAUAGUUAGAAACACGUGGCAGGCCUUGGGAAAGAGCCCAAAAGUUCACAUUGUAUCUGCUAAACAAUAGGGAGCCAGUGCAGGUUCUUCGGGUCACCCACAGGAGCAGGCAAACAGGUAGAGGCUUUAACAGGCUGCAUUUGGCCUGGAAGAGGGUAGGGUCACCAAAGAACAGUGCCUCUUGGAGUGACCUGAUCACUGUGGCAAGCUCAAGAGCUGACUUUUGUGGCUGGAAGCUGAAUGGUUCAGCUGGGUGGGUGUCGAGAUGAGCGCAGUUCCCAUGUGAAUGUGGAGAGGUGGCCGUUGGAACAGCAGAGGCCAGUGCAGUCACAGCCAAGGAGGGCCAGGGAGGAAGAAGAUGCCUUGGGAAUUCUGGUGUCAUAUUCUGUGGAGUGGAGGUGAAGCCAAAAGGGAAGAUUUGUCUUUCUCCAGAGAGAGUUUCCUGAGGACAGAGGACAUGUCUUUUUUUUUUUUUUUUAGUUUAUUUGUUUAUUAAUCUGUACACCCAACUUGAGACUCAAACUCACAACCCUGAGAUCAAGAGUUGCCUGCUCUUCCAACUGAGCCAACCAGGGACCCCAGACAGAGGCCAUGUCUAAUGUAUCUACACUCACAGCUCCAAGCAGAGUGCCUUGCACAUAAUAGCUGCUAAAU